UGCCCUAUAAGCUCCCGACGCCGUUUCUUCUUCGCCUCUUCAUCUCCUCCAACCGACGGCGCCGCCGAGACGCUUCAUCUCCUCUCUCGCGGACAAAAGGGGCAGACAAGGAGAAGUUGGUCACUUCUUCUAUCGAUCUCCUCUGCCUCUGCCGAUCUUCCUUCUCUCCCAACUUCUCUACAUCGCCCGACGCCGUGCCACCAUUGCCGUCGUCGGUGAAGCCCCAUUGACGUCGGUACCCGAGGGCAAGCCACUGUCGAGUUGUCGUUCUUCCUGUUCCCUAGCCGCAGUAGUCGUGCCCUAUUCUCUGCUCCGCCGCCUCGUCGAGCACUGGUAGAAAGACUCCUCCUCGCCAGCAUGGAUCCACUGAUCACCCCAAAUCCGUCUGAUUUCCCUAGCUCUGGUUGAGUUCUCGUUGUCCUAAUCUGAGGCGCGACACCCAUGCCCUAGCUGAGAUCUUGGAGCAUGUGUAGGGUUCGGUGGAUCCAGUUUAAGGCUUUUGGCGAGCAUAUUUGAGAGAUAGUUGGACGGUGGUUUUCUCCAGUAGUGGUUCAGUAGCUGAGAUAUCAGAUUUUUCUCAGUCCAUUUCUCUUCAUGAACAGUCCAGCCAAGUUGUCUCCUUUCUGUGCGCCGGGCAACAGUUCAAAUCCCUUUCACCGAGUCCCUCUGUUCCGUCUUCGGCCAUCGCAGUCACCAUAUCCAGGUAGAUUGGAAUUCGGAUUCGGGACGAGCACUUCGACAUAGAGGUUGAUUAGCUCAAUCUACAUUGG